UACAGAGGUCUCAAGCGUUGUCCGGAUUUACUGGGUGUAAAGGGUGCGCAGGCGGACUGGUUAGUCAGGGGUGAAAUCCCGUUGCUCAACAACGGACCUGCCUUUGAUACUGCCAGUCUUGAAUUAGCGAGAGGUUCGUGGAAUUCCGAGUGUAGCAGUGAAAUGUGUAGAUAUUCGGAAGAACACCAGUGGCGAAGGCAGCGAACUGGCGCUAUAUUGACGCUCAGGCACGAAAGCAUGGGGAUCAAACAGG
rnacentral:rRNA from 1 species